rnacentral:tRNA from 1 species
GGGGAUGUAGCUCAGUGGUAGAGCGUUCGCUUUGCAUGUGAAAGG